rnacentral:lncRNA from 1 species
AGAGCAAGUUUAACCUUUUAAAGAGGAAGGAUCUGUUGCUUGGCUACCAGGCAACAAGGUAACGAGUGGAAAUGGGGAACAGAAAUGGAGAAAGGAGACCUAGAAGAGGGGCGGUGGAGAAAGGGCAGGAACCCCUCAUGGGCUGGAGCCUGCAGAGGGAGGGAGAAAGUGAGCAGCUUCCAGGAGGUGUGGGGCUUUGAAGAAAGGGAACAGAGAGCAUUUGAAGGAAGUGUGGGUGUAAUGCAGGCCACCGUCUCCAGAAGACUCAGGCAGGUGCUUCACUGUGUCUUAAAGCUUUUAGAGUCAGAUACUGGGUUCUUUAGGGUGUGUCUCCAGCUUGAAGUGUGCCUCACAGUAGACGCAGGAAGGCCUUGUUUGAUUUGGGUUACAGGAGAAGCAGAGGCCCCUGUUUGGGGCUGCACUGUGGAGACUGGAAUUUGGGUAGAAGGGGCCACUGCUCCCGCUUGGAUACUAACCAGCUGUGUGGCCUCAGGCAUGU